GACGAACGCUGGCGGCGUGCUUAACACAUGCAAGUCGAACGGAAAGGCCCUUCUUUUCUCUCGUGCUCGAGUGGCGAACGGGUGAGUAACACGUGAGUAACCUGCCCUUGACUUUGGGAUAACUUCAGGAAACUGUGGCUAAUACCGGAUACGACCUCCUGCUGCAUGGUGGGGGUUUGGAAGUUUCGGCGGUUGGGGAUGGACUCGCGGCUUAUCAGCUUGUUGGUGGGGUAGUGGCUUACCAAGGCCUUGACGGGUAGCCGGCCUGAGAGGGUGACCGGCCACAUUGGGACUGAGAUACGGCCCAGACUCCUACGGGAGGCAGCAGUGGGGAAUAUUGCACAAUGGGCGGAAGCCUGAUGCAGCAACGCCGCGUGAGGGAUGACGGCCUUCGGGUUGUAAACCGCUUUCGCCUGUGACGAAGCGAGAGUGACGGUAACGGGUAAAGAAGCACCGGCUAACUACGUG
rnacentral:rRNA from 1 species